rnacentral:tRNA from 1 species
GGAGAGAUGGUCGAGCUGGUUUAAGGCACCGGUCUUGAAAACCGGCGUAGGUGCAAGCCUACCGUGAGUUCGAAUCUCACUCUCUCCGCCA